GCGGCCUAUCAGCUUGUUGGUGAGGUAAUGGCUCACCAAGGCAACGACGGGUAGCCGGCCUGAGAGGGCGACCGGCCACACUGGGACUGAGACACGGCCCAGACUCCUACGGGAGGCAGCAGUGGGGAAUAUUGGGCAAUGGAGGAAACUCUGACCCAGCGACGCCGCGUGCGGGAUGAAGGCCUUCGGGUUGUAAACCGCUUUCAGUAGGGAAGAAGCGAAAGUGACGGUACCUACAAAAGAAGCACCGGCUAACUAUGUGCCAACAGCCGCGGUAAUACAUAGGGUGCAAGCGUUGUCCGGAAUUAUUGGGCGUAAAGAGCUCGUAGGUCGUUUGUUACGUCGGAUGUGAAAACCUGAGGCUCGACCUCAGGCCUGCAUUCGAUACGGGCAAACUAGAGUUUGGUAGGGGAGACUGGAAUUCCU
rnacentral:rRNA from 1 species